UCACCUGCAGAACAAAACAGUGUGUUUGUUUUGUGUUAUUUGUUUUUAAAGUCAAAUCCAUUUGGCAUAUAUUUUACAUCCUGAUCGACACUCCGUGCAUAAGGUGGCGCUUAUGCAGAAGAAGAAAAAGAAAAGGAGGAUGAAGACGUUUGGUGCUGGACAUGUCAACACUUGUCCCAUGUUGCUAAUGAGCACUUUUAGCCACGUCAUUCAAUGACAUACAAGUAGAGAAGGAAGGGAGUAUGCUCCUUUCAUCGUCUCAGGAGCAGCAGAGAAUGUUUGGGCCCAUGGGAAUCCAGCUGGGCUCUACGACAUGUGUGCUCUGGGUGUCAUGAAACAGUUUGCCAGGACCUCCACCUGGACUACAGCAGGAAGAUGAACUCUGCUGGCUCCCAUCUGCCCACCACUCCACCACUGGAAUGGUUCUCUGGCCCUGUUGGGCUCUUGGCCUCAUCCUCGCUGACUGAAGAUUGGCCAGAUGGCGUUAUCUAUGAACCAAUCGGGCGCCUGGCUCCAUACCUCAUCCCACAGGUAGCUUUUCCAACAGAUGAGCUGUAUAAAGAAAGCUGCUUUUAUUAAGGGCCAACCAAUAGGAGAGCAGGGAUGUGA